rnacentral:antisense_RNA from 1 species
CUUCACCGACCCGAGCAGCAGCGGCCGGUCGGCGGGGCGGUCCUGCCCGUACGUCGCCAGGAGGGCCUGCGCCUC